rnacentral:rRNA from 1 species
GAUGAACGCUGGCGGCGUGCCUAAUACAUGCAAGUCGAGCGAACAGAUGAGGAGCUUGCUCCUCUGACGUUAGCGGCGGACGUGUGAGUAACACGUGGAUAACCUACCUAUAAGACUGGGAUAACUUCGGGAAACCGGAGCUAAUACCGGAUAAGAUAUUGAACCGCAUGGUUCAAUAGUACAAGACGGUUUUGCUGUCACUUAUAGAUGGAUCCGCGCCGCAUUAGCUAGUUGGUAAGGUAACGGCUUACCAAGGCAACGAUGCGUAGCCGACCUGAGAGGGUGAUCGGCCACACUGGAACUGAGACACGGUCCAGACUCCUACGGGAGGCAGCAGUAGGGAAUCUUGCGCAAUGGGCGAAAGCCUGACGGAGCAACGCCGCGUGAGUGAUGAAGGUCUUCGGAUCGUAAAACUCUGUUAUUAGGGAAGAAAAAAUGUGUAAGUAACUAUGCACGUCUUGACGGUACCUAAUCAGAAAGCCACGGCUAACUACGUG